rnacentral:rRNA from 1 species
CCUACGGGUGGCAGCAGUGGGGAAUAUUGGACAAUGGGCGAAAGCCUGAUCCAGCCAUGCCGCGUGUGUGAAGAAGGCCUUCGGGUUGUAAAGCACUUUCAGUGGGGAAGAAAGCCUUGGGGCUAAUACCCUCGAGGAAGGACAUCACCCACAGAAGAAGCACCGGCUAACUCCGUGCCAGCAGCCGCGGUAAUACGGAGGGUGCGAGCGUUAAUCGGAAUUACUGGGCGUAAAGCGCGCGUAGGCGGUCUGAUAAGCCGGUUGUGAAAGCCCCGGGCUCAACCUGGGAACGGCAUCCGGAACUGUCAGGCUAGAGUGCAGGAGAGGAAGGUAGAAUUCCCGGUGUAGCGGUGAAAUGCGUAGAUAUCGGGAGGAAUACCAGUGGCGAAGGCGGCCUUCUGGACUGUAACUGACGCUGAGGUGCGAAAGCGUGGGUAGCAAACAGGAUUAGAUACCCCAGUAGUC